GUGUAUACAAAUUAUGUGUUCACUGGGAGGGGUGGGGCAAAGGGGGGAAACGGCUAAAAUAGUUCGUGUGCUCCAGCUUAGAGGUCGCGUCAGUUGCAAAGAAAUCUGUAAAUUUAAAGGAAUCUGUCACACAUUUUGCUAAAAGUAAAGAAGGUUCACUUAAAAAUAAUCGACGUGCGCACACUUCUCUUUUAAUUCUUUGAUUUAUCAACAGCCGAUUAUUUUGCUGUCGUUGCGGUUUUUGGCGACAUUUUGUUUUAAUGUGUUUUAAAGACUUCAGAAAACGAUUUAACGUGAUUUUUUGGAUGUUUUUGUGAUCAAACAUCUCUACUUUUAUAUGGAUCUUUUAUUUGAAUCUAGUGUAUAGUGUGAAUGACAGUGUUUUAAUGAAGGAUGAAUCAACUUAAGGCAAAUUAAGGUAAACGUUAUUGAAAGGUGUCUAUACAACAAUUAAUUGCGAUUUCUAGAUAUUAAUAUAAUCAUAUUACACCAAGAAGGAUCACACAAACUUCUCUAAUAAGGGAAUUUCUCGAUGUUUAGGAGAUGAAGACCGUCCUUGGAGAUGAUAACGGUUCUUGGGAUGUAAUUGAAAAUCCCAUGAAGACGAGUUAAAUAUAAUGUGCAGUAAUUAAUAGGUAUAUCAUAAUAAUAAAUAAAUUUAUUGUAGUUGCGAAGCUAGUAUUUUGUGAAAGCAGGGAGUUUAGGACUUGCUAUGGUUCAAGGUUUUCAAAUUCGCCAUGUCCCUCUAUGUCUUAAUCUUUUAUGUUGUUUUACACAAUGUUAUAACGCCUAUGCCUGUUAAAAAAACAAGGUUUGUCCUUUUUGUGAUUGCUUAAUUUAGAAACUAAGCGAAAUAGCGUAUUCUACAAGUAUCAUACAAGUUAAUCAAUAUUAAAGCCUACUAUUAUUAUAAAUUUAAAUGAUUACAUGGUAGUUAUGUAGUUAUGUAUAUCAGAUAUGUGGCUUUUUAUUUAAAAUAAUUUUAGCACACUUGUAAUUCUCUUGUGUUUGAGUAAUUUACUAAUAACUAUGAUGCAAUCGAGAUUACUUUUAAAAAAUUUCAAAACUUAUCAAGAACUUUGACAUCAAACUGUUAAAGUACGUGUUAGGGCCGCUUUUACAAACGUCCGUAAACCUUAUAACCGCGAAUAAAUUUCGAAAAAUAGUUGUUUAAAUUUAGCCUUAAGGGACUUAAAAAUUGGACUAUUGUCAAAGGUUACAAGCAAAAUUUUGAUAUUUUUUUGCUUUUCUGAACAGUCUGUAGACAAGUAAUCAAACCAACAAAACUGAUGUAUUUAUACAGACUGAUCCCGAAAUACUGUGUCUGUUAGCAAUCUGAAUUUAAAUUUUAAAGGAUACCAAUAGUGUACACUUUCAGGUAGCAAUUCAAUAAUUUAAUCUGAUGCCAACAUACUCAGUUUCUCUGGAUCAUUGUGUAUAUUUAGACAAUGUAUUUACAUAUAUUAUUACAUCUGAGUAUGUUUAUGAAGAACAAUUCGAGUUAAAUUAAUUUUGCCUAUACAUUCCAGCACGUUAUUAUUUUUUUAAUAAAUUUUUAUUGGAAAGACUUUGUUUCAUUUUGUUAAGCGAUGUUAAAUGUUUUUGUGCUAUUGCAACUGUUACAGAUGCUUUUUUAUUAAAAUGUCUCGUAACAGUGCAUGAGUACAGAAACAUUUAACAUUUAUAAUUCUUUAAAUUUGGAAAAUAAAUAAAAUGUCCUGUUUGAAUUUCCCGCUAUUAUCGAAUUAGUUCGUUCUCUCAGGGUUAGGUGGCGCUUUCGCGAAAAAACGAGGGGUAGACAGAGAGAUUCGCUUCUUCCUCUCUCUUAUUCUAUGGUCCAUAAUAAGAACGCAUUUUCCUCCAAUCUCGGUAAGAGCAGGUACAGUCCGGGACAUUUCUAUUUGGACAUAAAAAAUUUGAAUUUUCUGACAUUUAUACGUGUAUUCAGCGUCUAUGUGAACAAAAAAUUGUUCUCUCUCUCAUUCUAUGGUCCUUGAGCUUUAAUAACAGGGACAUUUUUUAAAUUGGUAGCAUUAGAAAAUGACAGUAAACAGCUGACUGAUGUAAACAAUAACACAAUAACAAAGGAAAUGUCAUAAUUUUAAUCUAUAUAACCAGUGGCUGCUUUAAAAGUAGAACCAUUACUUGUCAUAUAACAACUACUCAGAUUAUAUGAUGAGACGGGAAUGGCACAAUACAGAAUUGCAGUCAAUGAUUGUGCUGGAGAAAGCUGCUGUGACGUACUGACAGUACUGACUAUCGCAGGUUAUACGACUUGUGCAAUUUGUGAUAUAUUUUGUGUGAAAAACUGGAAAACAAAGUGCAUAACUACAUAACCUCACUUAUCGCAGUUUUGCACAUUUUGAUGAUGGGAAUUGCGGUUCAAGUAAUUAUGAGUUAUAGAUGGAGCCCACUGUUUACUUCAAACUGAAGCCUUUUGGGUCCACUUUUUUCGUUGUUAUUUCCUGAUAGCCACUCUUGUUUCAAGCAGAAUGGGUGUAAAGUUAAUAUAACUCCUUUGCACUGGCAUGGGGUAUUUGAAAACUUACGUUUAACAAAUACGUCACAAAGUCUCAGCCAUCGUCGAAAAAUAUAAUAAGGGCUUUAUAACAAGAAGUGCUUUCUGAUUUUACUGUGGACGUGUGGAAGAAUAGUGUGAAAUAUUGCGAAAAAACAACUUUUACUCUUGUGUACAUUUUUGUACGUCUCUAUCUGAGAGUAGUAUAAAAAAUAUAGCCUACUAAUAAAGGAAAUUAAAGUGUUUUUAUUUCUGGGUUGCCCCCAAUUCCACUUUGCGCUUGCCUGAUAAUCAAGACACUGAUAAUGAAAUUGGUGUAAGUGCAUCGAAUACAAACGUGUUGAAUAGAUGAAUAAAAGAGAGACAACUGCUUUUUUCAAAAAGGCCAUUUCAAAUUUAUUCAAAAAGCACAGCCCCAUUGAAAAGGGUCCAUUCACGAUGAAGUUUGGCUUCCUGCAUGACAUACGUCUCGGGCACCAAGCUCACUGUAAAUGGUCUAAAUUGGUCUUGCAUCUUUAAGACAUGGACUCACUAAGAGCGACUUCUGCAGUAGGCUUGAG